CUCAGAGGCAGCCGGUAUCAGGCUUGUUUGUGCGGACUUCGAGGAUCACCUCUACGGAUCACGAUCUACCUCAUCGAUCUGCACAACACCUGAGUAAACGUCAUCUAACACCUGAGACAACCUACCUGAUCCUGGUUCCAGCAUUGCUGUUUCCUGGUUCCUAUAUGUGGAUGGUCCGGUGUUCCUCCCACCCUCAGCCAUAACCGGUCAUAGGUCCAGGAUCUGACAAACCCGAGCUGCAAGGAUGGAUAUCACAUCAGCUACCUAAUCCAGUCCAAGAUCAGCCAAGACAAAUCUGCAAUCCUUCCAUAGAGCAUCUGUGCCGUACUGAGACAAUACAACCUUACGAGCACCUGAACUGGUAGUAAAACCUUAAGUGGCAGGAAUAAAGAUGUCCGUUCAGCAGAGUAAACUGUGUGAGUCUGAGGUGACUGACAACCAUAAUAAAUCUACCCUUCUGAUUGCCUCUGAGGAAGAGGAUUGGAAGUAUUCCUGGAUGAACCAGGUCACACAGGCUAUAUACAUUGCUCCAUUACAUCACUCCAACGAGCUCUCCACAUUUCUCUAAGCCAUACGUUAACCAUACAAAUGGGUAAUGAUCCUAGAACUUUGAUUCCAUAGUGAAGAAUAUGUCCAAAGAAACUUGCAACACAGAGAUGAAAUUAUAUACUGCUGCUUGAGUGCCAGGUCAAAGGAUGGGUGCAAUAAGGGACGAGAGUAUCGUGAAGAAUGCUGGUGAAUUUCUACAAAUUUCAUCCAAGAAGAAACAAAUGACAUGAGUAAAUAGAGAGUCAAUAAAAUCAAAGAUGACUUCAAGUCCUGAGAAGAAUAUUGAACUUCAGGGUAAUGCAUGUGCUCUUUUUGCAGGUGUAAGUGGAAAAGGAGAAUGAAAUCUGGUAUGCUCGUGCCAUCCAUCUAUAAUGUCAAUGGCCAGCCACUUGUUUCCUCUCACUGUCUGACUCCAUCCCACGCACAAUUCCCAGCUCAAGACCCUCCUUUGUGCUACAUAUAAUACUGCACCUACUGAACAUUCUGUGACUAUAUGUUAAAAAAAUCAGCUAUGGGUAUUAUGGCAACGAUGUUGACAAUAAUAACUCAGGAGUUACCAAAGCAUUUAAUUUUAUUUUCAAUAAGAAUAUUGUAUAGGCCGUAUCUGUUAACAUAAAAGCAAUACAGGAUGCAUGGUUAUUAUUGACGUUAAGUACUGGGAUUUUGUCCAAACUGAUUUUACAGUGAUGGAUUGGUAAACCAGACUACGUAGUACAUUUCUUCUUUCUUUUAAUUAACUGGUGAGGUCACAUGCUGUGAAUGCAAUAAGGGCCAGUGCUGUAAAACAGCAAGUGAUUUGAUUGCUGCCAGGGUAUCCAUAUAAGGAAAGAAUGCAGGUGUGUGAAAUGCACAUAGGGCCUGAUCCAAAGCCUAUUGAAGUCUUCCAUUGAUUUAAUUGGGUUUGGAUCAGGCACUCAUAUGCUAUGAAAUCCUGACACCACUGAAGUCAAUAUCAAGCUCUCAGUGGUGCUGAAUUUCACUAUAUCACCAGUCCUACGAACACUUAAUCACGUCCAUGACUUUACUUAUGUGAGUAGUCCCAUUAACUUUAAUGGGUCUACUCAUGUAGACCCAUUAUAUUGCCCGUAUGCUUAAAUGACUGCAGGAUUGGGGCCCAAGGUGAUAGGCAGAAACUACCAGUACUGGCUCUAUAACAAAACUUCUCACGGACACUAGUAUUUUGAUGAUGCUGUUUUUGUGAAUUUGAGGGUGGUCAGCUAACAAUGCCUUUUGUUACAAAUAUGGUGACGUUCGAGCUUUGGUGAAACAGGAAGCUCUUUUUCCUUAUCCAAGGAACAAAAUCAACUUUUUGUGGCUAAUUGAGUACUUCUGGCUGCAAAACCUGUUUGUUCUUGAGGGGAGGAAGGACCCUAACCUAAAAUGCAAACAAUACUUCUACCUAGGAAGGCAUUGCUGUUUCAAAAAUUCACAAAAGUUUUUCUUUCUUUCGAAAGGAGCUAUGUCAGUCUUCCCUGUGCAUUUGAUAGAAAUUUCUAUGUUGGUGUUAUAAUCCACAAAGAGAAUAUUAUAGAGACUAUGAGAAAUCAUAAUCUGUUUUUGAACCGGUGUCCAUUCUCAAUGCUGAGACUGUUUUUGUCCAGGAUUUUCAAAAUAAUGGAGUUAGUCUCAAACGUAGGUCCUUAUCAGAUUAGAAUUUUGAGAAGCAUUGAAUUGGUUUUUCCCCCCCCAUUUCCUACUGUUUCUUGCCCAAUGCUUUUGUUAGGUACAGUAAAGAUUUUUCUCUCAUUGUCAUGGAGUAUAUUUUCUAAUUAAUAAAUCUCAUUCUUUACCUACAUACACAAUCCUACCCAAAAUAAAUUGAGGCCAACAGUAAUGGCAUCAAUUAACAAGGCAAUCAGGUAUUUUGGAAGGUCCAGGGUUGUGCUCAUUGGACAUAUUUUGUGCAAUGGGAUUAAUCUAGGGUUGCACAAAGUGAAAGGGAUUCAUUGACCAUCAAUCAGGAAUCCAUAAGAACAUGUCAUGAGGUCAUAAAAAUGCAAAGGGAGUGGUCCAAUGAAUCCAGAGAUUUAACCAGCAUAGACAGAGGAGAGUUUUCAAUCCUUCAAUGGCAUUUUUCCAUGCAGAUCUAGGAUUGUCUAACUUCUCCAUACAUUUCCAUUUUCUCAGUAUAGGAGGUUUAGUAUAAAAGAUCACUGAGCAACAGUCCAUGAAGACUGAACGAUGGACUCCUGCAAGGCUCCAUUCUAGCUCCAGCACUUUUCAACCUAUAUACCAGCGAUAUUCCACCAAUGUCCUCCCGCAAGUUCACGUACGCAGAUGACAUCACGCUGGCUACUCAGUCUUCCUCAGUUGAAACCUCAGAAAAGGUUCUAGAACAGGAUCCAAAAGCACUAGAAACCUAUUUCAAGCCAAAUGCCUGAAAAACAGUGGUCUCAGCUUUCCAUUUGAGUAAUACCCAGGUCAAGAAGAAAUUAAACAUCAAUUUUUGUGGGUCACUGUUGAUGCACGAUCAUAAUCUGUGUUGCCUGGGGAUAACCCUGGAUCACACC